rnacentral:RNase_P_RNA from 1 species
GAGGAAAGUCCGGGCAACACAGAGCAUCCUACUUCUUAACGGGAAGCUAUCUGCGAAGGUAGAGUAAUGUAGAAGAAAACAACCGCCUUUUUCCUCUUUUGGAACAAGGUAAGGGUGAGAAGGUGGAGUAAGAGCCCACCAGUUGCGUGGUGACACGGUUAAGCUGUACGUCUUAGGAGUUGUAAGGUCGAUGUAUACCGGCAUUAUGAGGGCUGCUCGCCCCACGUCGGAGGGUAGACCGCUAAAGUAAUGUGGCAACACAUUACUCAGAUAAAUGACAAACACCUUAAUUUAUUAUUAAGGACAGAACCCGGCUUA